rnacentral:rRNA from 1 species
UACGAAGGGAGCUAGCGUUGUUCGGAAUCACUGGGCGUAAAGCGCACGUAGGCGGAUGUGCCAGUCAGGGGUGAAAUCCCGGAGCUCAACUCCGGAACUGCCUCUGAUACAGCACGUCUUGAGUCCGGAAGAGGUGGGUGGAAUUCCUAGUGUAGAGGUGAAAUUCGUAGAUAUUAGGAAGAACACCGGUGGCGAAGGCGGCCCACUGGUCCGGUACUGACGCUGAGGUGCGAAAGCGUGGGGAGCAAACAGGAUUGAGAUACC